rnacentral:tRNA from 3 species
AGAAUUGUGCCCGAAUGCUUAAGGACCAUGUUGAUGUCGUGACUAACGGGGGUUCAAGUCCCCCCAAUUCUA